UACAGUUAGGAUAUUUUCAACAUAUCUAAUAAAGCUCACAAGCCGGGGUCAAAAUCUCUGUAAUAAUAGUUCAUUCUCCAAAUAUCUAAGUAUUAUCUCAGCCAGAGGUACGGCUAAUGGACUCCCUAUAGGGACACCUUUUAUUUGUUGGUAAUAAACUCCUCAGAAAUUAAAAUAAGAAUUAUGACAAAGCAUGUGAGCAAUGUCCCUUAAAAGUUUGCCUCUGCCUUCAACAAACGGGAGGUUCUCAAUCAUAAAUCUAUACAGGGCCAGGCAUACCGGCUCUAACUUUAAAGAAGGGUAAAGGCUAUCAUAGUCAAACACAGCCAUAACAUAGUGGGGUUGCCAUGUUAUCAUUCUAAUCCUCUUCAAGGCUUCCUCUGUAAUGGUGGUGGAAUUCUCAUUCUGGCCUAAUAUUGUCAAACACCAACUGGCUAUAGCUUUCUCUAAAUUAAAAGUAGGAGCCCUUCUUUUUUCGACUAUGGGUCGAGGCUUAACUGGCUGUUUGUGUCUUCAUAUAUGCGAAGAGCCGAGGACACAUUGGUGCUUGUAUUUUCGCAUGCUUCCAUUCUUGGGGAAAGAGCCUGUUAGAAGUUAAUUUGUCUAGGGAGGC
rnacentral:lncRNA from 1 species